GGAGAGAUGGCUUAGCGGGUAAGAGCACUGACUGUUCUUCCAGAGGUCCUGAGUUCAAUUCCCAGCAACCACA
rnacentral:tRNA from 1 species